rnacentral:rRNA from 1 species
GAGUUUGAUCCUGGCUCAGAUUGAACGCUGGCGGCAUGCCUUACACAUGCAAGUCGAACGGCAGCACGGGAGCUUGCUCCUGGUGGCGAGUGGCGACGGGUGAGUAAUGGCAUCGGAACGUAUCCUGGAGUGGGGGAGUAACGUAGCGAAAGUUACGCUAAUUACCGCAUAUUCUGUAGAGACAGGAAAGUCGGGGGACCUUCGGGCCUCGCGCUCUUGGAGCGGCCGAUGUCGGA